rnacentral:rRNA from 1 species
UUGACCUCUCGGAGGACGGCGGACGGGUGAGUAACGCGUGGGAAUAUGCCUCUUGGUACGGAAUAGCCUCUGGAAACGGAGAGUAAUACCGUAUGUGCCCUUCGGGGGAAAGAUUUAUCGCCAAGAGAUUAGCCCGCGUUGGAUUAGGUAGUUGGUGGGGUAAUGGCCUACCAAGCCGACGAUCCAUAGCUGGUUUGAGAGGAUGAUCAGCCACACUGGGACUGAGACACGGCCCAGACUCCUACGGGAGGCAGCAGUGGGGAAUCUUAGACAAUGGGGGAAACCCUGAUCUAGCCAUGCCGCGUGAGUGACGAAGGCCCUAGGGUCGUAAAGCUCUUUCGCCAGGGAUGAUAAUGACAGUACCUGGUAAAGAAACCCCGGCUAACUCCGUGCCAGCAGCCGCGGUAAUACGGAGGGGGUUAGCGUUGUGCGGAAUUACUGGGCGUAAAGCGCGCGUAGGCGGACUAUUAAGUCAGAGGUGAAAUCCCGGGGCUCAACCCCGGAACUGCCUUUGAUACUGGUAGUCUUGAGUUCGAGAGAGGUGAGUAGAAUUCCGAGUGUAGAGGUGAAAUUCGUAGAUAUUCGGAGGAAUACCAGUGGCGAAGGCGGCUCACUGGCUCGAUACUGACGCUGAGGUGCGAAAGCGUGG